rnacentral:ncRNA from 1 species
UAAAUAAAGUUUAAUUCUAGCUUAAAGAUUUAUUUAAUUUUUUUUUUACAUGUAAAUUUUUAUGUGAAUAGGAAAGUAAUUUUAAUAAUUAUUUUUGUAUAUUUUAUUCGCAGUAUGAAGUUUUAAUAAUUUAAGAAAUUAAGAAUUAUAAAUAAAUUUUAAUAUUGACAAAUUUUGUGCCAGCAGUUGCGGUUAUACAAAAAAUGUAAAUAAAUUAUAUUAGUAAAUAAUUAUAUGAAUUAAUUUAAAAUAAAAUUAUAUUUAUUAGGUGAAAUUUUAAAUAUAAAAUUAAUUUUUAAUAAAAUUUUUAUUAUUAUGAAAUUUAUUUUUAAACUAGGAUUAGAUACCCUAUUAUUUUAAAUGUAAAUUAUUAUACUAAAGUAGUAAUAGUUAAGUUCUUUAAAUUUAAAGAUUUUGGCGGUAUUUUAGUCUAUUCAGAGGAACCUGUUCUGUGAUUGAUAAUCCACGAUUAACUUUACUUAAUUUAAUAAUUUGUAUAUCGUCGUUUAUAAAUGAUUUUAAAAGAAUUUAAAUUUUUAAGAUUUUUUAUUAAAAAAUAUAUCAGAUCAAGGUGCAGUUUAUAAUUAAGUAGAAAUGGGUUACAAUAAAUUUAUUUAUACGGAUUAAUAUAUUAAAUUAUGUUAUGAAGGAGGAUUUGAUAGUAAUAAAAUUUAAUUAAAUUUUAUGAUUUUAGCUCUAAAAUAUGUACAUAUCGCCCGUCGCUCUUAUUAUAAAAUAAGAUAAGUCGUAACAUAGUAGAUGUACUGGAAAGUGUAUCUAGAAUGAC